rnacentral:rRNA from 1 species
AGUGAACGCUGGCGGCAGGCCUAAUACAUGCAAGUCGAGCGAACAGAUGAUAAGCGUUCUCCUCUGACGUUAGCGGCGGACGGGUGAGUAACACGUGGAUAACCUACCUAUUAUACUGGGGGAACUUCGGGAAAAAAGAGCUAAUACUAGCGAAUAUAUUGAACGGCUUGAAUCAAGAGUGAAUGGCAGUUUUGCUGUCACUUUUAGAUGGAUCCGGGCCGCAUUAGCUAGUUGGUAAGGUAACAGCUCACCAAGGCAACGAUGCGUAGCUGACCUGAGAGGAUGAUCAGCCACACUGGAACUGAGACACGGUCCAGACUCCUACGGGAGGCAGCAGUGGGGAAUAUUCGGCAAUGGGCGCAAGCCUGACGCAGCCACGCCGCGUGGGUGAUGAAGGUCUUCGGAUUGUAAAGCUCUUUUAUUGGGAAAGAAAAACUGUGUAAGAAAAUACCCACGUUCUGACGGUACCCAAACAGAAAGCACCGGCUAACUACGUG